UACGGGGGGGGCAAGCGUUGUUCGGAAUUACUGGGCGUAAAGGGCGCGUAGGCGGCUCUGUUAGUCAGGCGUGAAAGCCCUGGGCUCAACCUGGGGACUGCGCUUGAUACGGCGGGGCUUGAGGGCAGGAGAGGCUCGCGGAAUUCCCAGUGUAGAGGUGAAAUUCGUAGAUAUUGGGAAGAACACCAGUGGCGAAGGCGGCUCACUGGCCCGGUACUGACGCUGAGGUGCGAAAGCGUGGGGAGCAAACAGG
rnacentral:rRNA from 1 species